UACGGGGGGGGCAAGCGUUGUUCGGAAUUACUGGGCGUAAAGGGCUCGCAGGCGGCCGACUAAGUCAGACGUGAAAUCCCUUGGCUUAACCAAGGAAUGGCGUCUGAUACUGGACGGCUUGAAUCCGGGAGAGGGAUGUGGAAUUCCAGGUGUAGCGGUUAAAUGCGUAGAUAUCUGGAGGAACACCGGUGGCGAAAGCGGCUUCCUGGUCCGACACCGACGUUCAGGCACGAAAGCGUGGGGAGCAAACAGG
rnacentral:rRNA from 1 species